ensembl:lncRNA
CCCUCCUCUAGCCAAGUAGCAUGCAGCCCCAGCCCCUCCUCUAGCCCAGUAGCAUGCAGCCCAAGCCCCUCCUCUGGCCCAGGAGCAUGCAGCCCCUCCUCUAGCCCAGAAGGAUGCAGCCCCAGCCCCUCCUCUAGCCCAGAAGGAUGCAGCCCCUCCUCUGGCCCAGUAGCAUGCAGCCCCAGCCCCUCCUCUAGCCCAGUAGCAUGCAGCCCCAGCCCUCCUCUAGCCCAGAAGCAUGCAGCCCCUCCUCUGGCCCAGUAGCAUGCAUCCCCAGCCCCUCCUCUAGCCCAGAAGCAUGCAGCCCCUCCUCUAGCCCAGAAGGAUGCAGCCCCUCCUCUGGCCCAGUAGCAUGCAGCCCCAGCCCCUCCUCUAGCCCAGAAGCAUGCAGCCCCUCCUCUAGCCCAGUAGCAUGCAGCCCCAGCCCCUCCUCUAGCCCAGUAGCAUGUAGCCUCAGCCCCUCCUCUAGCCCAGUAGCAUGCAGCCCCAGCCCCUCCUCUGGCCGACCCAGUAGCAUGCAGCCUCAGCGCCUCCUCUAGCCCAGUAGCAUGCAGCCCCAGCCCCUCCUCUCGCCGACCCAGUAGCAUGCAGCCUCAGCCCCUCCUCUAGCCCAGUAGCAUGCAGCCCCAGCCCCUCCUCUGGCCGACCCAGUAGCAUGCAGCCUCAGCGCCUCCUCUAGCCCAGUAGCAUGCAGCCCCAGCCCAUCCUCUAGCCCAGUAGCAUGCAGCCUCAGCCCCCUCCUCUGGCUGACCCAGUAGCAUGCAGCCUCAGCCCAUCCUCUGGCC